rnacentral:rRNA from 1 species
UACGUAGGGUGCAGGCGUUAAUCGGAAUUACUGGGCGUAAAGCGUGCGCAGGCGGUCUUUUAAGUCAGAUGUGAAAUCCCCGGGCUUAACCUGGGAACUGCGUUUGAAACUGAAAGGCUAGAGUGUGGCAGAGGGGGGUGGAAUUCCACGUGUAGCAGUGAAAUGCGUAGAGAUGUGGAGGAACACCGAUGGCGAAGCCAGCCCCCUGGGCUAACACUGACGCUCAUGCGCGAAAGCGUGGGGAGCAAACAGG